GCGGAGGGAGGGGGGGUGUUCCCGUAACUCUUCCAUUUGCUCUUCCGGCUGGCGCCCCCCCGUUAGAUCUUAUGCCAGGAAUUGUCGGGGGAAUCAGGCGGCCCAGGCAACUGGUGGAGCGGCCUUUCCGUUCUCCCCGCAGCUUCAGCUGGGCCCAGGCUGGAGAAAGGCUGAGCUACCCGCUCAGCCGCCUUUACUCCUCCGGCUCUUCUCCUCUUUCGUUCCUUUUCUCCGGAAAGAAAAGAAGGGCGGCUGCGGGAGAGGGAAGAGCAGAGUUGAAGAAAGGAUGAAAAGCAAAUCCGUAAUCUAUCAGGACAGAUCGUUCCUCCACUUUCUAAAGAUGAAGUUUGGGAAGACCAAAGGAGAAAAUAUUGGCCAGAUUCUCAUACUGCCAAAGGACGAGGAGCCUCGGAGAAUGUUCUGGAAUCGUCAUGGUGAACCCACCAUGUUAGGAACAAGGAGCUGAAACCCAAGGCCUGAGUCAGCUCAAUGUUUAUUUAAAGGAAAGGAAAAUGGAUUGCCACUGCCAGGCCAGAGGGAGUAUGCUAUGCCCCACUUAAUUACGGAAUUAAGAAGCUGCAAGAUGACAACCCUCUUAGUUAAGGGCCUUGUGUGCAUGGACGCUGUCCUAUUUUUUUUUUUGUCUCUUUGAAGAAGGGCAGUUCCUUGUUCAGCUAGCUGCCUUGAAUCUGGGGCGAAGAACUUCCAUUUCUAUCUGCAACCUAAGCUGUCACCAUCUCUAUCUAACUCAACAAAGAGCACCCUCGGAGAAGAUAGGCAAGUGAAAUAAAACACCAACUCUUAAGUCCAAUUGCUCAAGUC